ensembl:lncRNA SNHG1 small nucleolar RNA host gene 1
UCUGCGGCAUGGUAUUUAAUCGUCUCCCCGGGGAGAUUCGUUCUCAUUUUUCUACUGCUCGUGGAUUUACGCGCACGUUGGAACCGAAGAGAGCUCUGUUGUUGCAAUGUUCAGCCCACAAGAGCUUACUGGUGAAGGAAUGGGACAAGACCCAUCUUUAUGCAAAGCCAGCGUUACAGUAAUGUUCCAGCAUCUCAUAAUCUAUCCUGGGGAAUUCAGCUGCCUCCCAGGGUGAAUACAGGUAUUCCUGAUGACAGUCUGCCUCUAUCUUACAGUAAGUUGUUUUUCGAAUUCUAUGGGCCUAUUAUCUAAUAGAUAACUUAGCCAUUUUGAUAUUUGUUACCAAAGCCUGCUUAACCCAUAAAGUUUUCUGGUUCCUCUUGUUCUCUGUAGUGAUGUUUCUAGAUAGAUGCCCACUGAUAUAUGCCCCUUUUUUCUCAGAUAGAUGCCCACUGAUCUGCCCAGGGUCAGACGAAUGCUUGUCAGUUGUAGCUUUCCAGGAUUCUGCUCCAAUGAGGAGGAAACAUCCUGCCUUACCCCUGUUUUAGCCUGGGAACCAGUAAUUGUGAACUCACCAGGGUUAACAUGAAGAGGGCAUGAGAGCUUAUUCCAUAAGGAAUUGUCUGAGACAUUUGGUUACCUUUUCUUAGUUUGUCCAUUAGCAACCGUAACUAAAAUAGUUUUGGCUGUUUGGGAUAAUUAGCUAAUUGAAUGAUUUUUUGAUUCAGGAGCAGCUUGUUGCUAUAUACCAUUGAAAAGCCUUCAGAGCUGAGAGGUUAGUUGAUAUUUUUUGUUCCUUACAGCUUAUGCCACCAAGUAGGCAGUUUCUAUGAUGAAUCAAACUAGCUCACUAUGACCGACAGUGAAAAUACAUGAACACCUGAGAAACUGGAGAACGCAGGGAGUGGGGGGUAACCAUGUCUGAGGAAUCUUUCACCCACAGCUUUGUUUUUCUCUAGGUACUACUAACCAAUAACCUGCUUGGCUCAAAGGGCCAGCACCUUCUCUCUAAAGCCCAAGAGGAGUUUGAGGAAAACUAGGUGUCUGUGUUCACUCCAGGCUGAAGUUACAGGUCUGAGCAAAUAAGGUGUAUAAAAAAUGGAAUCUGUCUUGGAGGACAUCAGAAGGUGAAUUUUCCAAGUUCUUGGACAACCUAGCUGUUGAAAAGCUUUCUGGGUUUGGGGGGUAUUUCAGAUGUACCUUAAAGUGUUAGCAGACACAGAUUAAGACACUGGGAGCCAAUGAAACAGCAGUUGAGGGUUUGCUGUGUAUCACAUUUCUGUAUUUUAUCACCCCCUUCCUGCAACAUUAUUUAUCUGGAAUCUACCUGCCCUUUUGUUUUUUAGAUACAAGGGCUUGGUUUUGUUACCCAGGCUGGUUUCAAGGCCAUAGCUUUAAGAGAUCCUCUCACCACAGAUUUCCAAAGUGCUGGGAUUGCAGGUGUGAUUCAUGGCACCCAGACUUUGCUGCCUUUCUUACAUGAUCCAGGCCCAGAACCCAAACUCAGGCACUGUAUAGAUGACCACUUUCGUAAACUACUGACCUAGCUUGUUGCCAAUUGUUGAUUGAACUUCCCAUAACUCCACUUCGUGUCUGUUCCUCUGUAUACAGCCACCUUCUGUUCCCGUCAUGAGCCUUUAGGUCUCCAUUUGCAUAUUGCAAAUACUAUGUUCCAUGUAGGUAGCUCAUUCAGGGCCUUGCUCUUCACUUCAAAAAAGGUUCCCUUGAGGACUGGCUGUCAAUUUGUGUUGCUGUGUUGGUUGUUGAUGAAAAUAAUAAAAU